UACGUAGGUGGCAAGCGUUGUCCGGAUUUACUGGGCGUAAAGCGCGCGCAGGCGGUUUUGUAAGUCAGAUGUGAAAUCCCCGGGCUUAACCUGGGAACUGCGUUUGAAACUACAAGGCUAGAGUGUAGCAGAGGGGGGUGGAAUUCCACGUGUAGCAGUGAAAUGCGUAGAGAUGUGGAGGAACACCGAUGGCGAAGGCAGCCCCCUGGGUUAACACUGACGCUCAGGCACGAAAGCGUGGGGAGCAAACAGG
rnacentral:rRNA from 1 species